GUUCAAAUUAAUCAGUGGCCAUUAUUAGCAAUCCACAUUUAUCCCAUUUAUCCAAUCAAAAUUAGGAUUUAAUUAAUACUAUUAUUUAAGAAAAUUUGAAAAUAAGUAAAAAAAUUCUCUCUCUCUCUCCAGUACAUAGCUUCCAACGGUAAGAUGGAAAAGAAAUAAAUAAAGCUUCCAACGGUAAAAUGAAAAAGAAAAAAUAAAAGUACACACAGAAUCCUCUUUGGAGACCACACAUACGUUAUCCCUCUCUCUUUUCUCUCACACACUCUCCAAUCUACCGCUCCACCCUCUAAAAAACAAAAGAAAGAAAAUAGAAAAGAAUCAAAAAAAUCUAAUCGGCAACCACACCCUUCCGCCGGAAUCAACACAGCUCCGACCCCCGGCCCACAACAAAUUCACCAUAAUAUCCACCGUCACGCGUCUUCCGCAUCUCCAUGAUCUUUCAACCUCUCUGAUCGCGCCAGCCACAACCGUUCACUCUCAAUCCGCCGGUAGCCACCACCACAUGACCUUCAUGACAACCCCUUAAACCUUCAUCUCCGCCGACAAAACCCCAAUCU
rnacentral:lncRNA from 1 species